rnacentral:rRNA from 1 species
GACGAACGCUGGCGGCGGGCUUAACACAUGCAAGUCGAGGGACCGGCGCACGGGUGAGUAACACGUAUCCAACCUGCCCUUUACUCGGGGAUAGCCUUUCGAAAGAAAGAUUAAUACCCGAUGUAAAGGCAGGGGAUGAGUUCCAUUUGGUUGUUGGUGAGGUAACGGCUCACCAAGCCUUCUAUGGAUAGGGGUUCUGAGAGGAAGGUCCCCCACAUGGGAACUGAGACACGGUCCAAACUGCGACAGGAGGCAGCAGUGAGGAAUAUUUGUCAAUGGGCGGUAGCCUGAACCAGCCAAGUAGCGUGAAGGAUGAAGGCUUAUGGGUCGUAAACUUCUUUUAUAUAAGAAUAUGUAUUAUAUGAAUAAGGAUCGGCUAACUCCGUGCCAGCAGCCGCGGUAAUUC